UCCCGGCUGGCUCAGUUGGUGGAGCAUGUGACUCUUGAUCUCAGGGUCAUGGGUUCAAGCCCCACACUGGGCG
rnacentral:tRNA from 1 species